rnacentral:rRNA from 1 species
CUUGUAGGCGGUUUGUCGCGUCUGCCGUGAAAUUUCGGGGCUCAACCCCGAACUUGCGGUGGGUACGGGCAGACUAGAGUGUGGUAGGGGAGACUGGAAUUCCUGGUGUAGCGGUGAAAUGCGCAGAUAUCAGGAGGAACACCGAUGGCGAAGGCAGGUCUCUGGGCCACUACUGACGCUGAGAAGCGAAAGCAUGGGGAGCGAACA